UUGAUAUAUAAAACCCCAUUGAAUCAACGUGAUUUGGGUUACGUUACAUUUUAAACUUUUUUAGAGAUUUCGUAUAUGAUCAGAAAAUGUAUUAAUCUCCCGGCGUGGUCACUGUGCGCUGUUAUAGUUGGCGUAAUAGUGUAUGUUGUCAUGACAUAAUAUAUGAGCCUAUGACGCAAACGCAGUCAACAAAUUAUUAAAUUGAUUGGCUCAGUUGAGUUGAUAGUUUGCAUAGGACAGUCAUCCUCAUGUUCAAAGACAUUACUUUGCCUGGACAAGAUAAUUCUGUGUAACUGUCCAAUCUGAAGGAUGUCUUAAAAUAAAAUGAGUAAAAGUCAUAAACGGUUGAGGAGAGUUCGUCUAAAGGCUUGGACCCUCCAAGCUAGUGUUGGAGAACAGGUGCCCCAGACAGACGACCAUGGUGGACCAAGGCUGCCAGUACUGGUGGACUGCACCAAGAAGAGCCCCCUGAAGAACUUUGUGCCGAAGCCCCCACAAGGCCCCAGGCUGAGCAAUCAGGCAAUGAUGGCCAAGGUUGAAAAGAAUGCCAGAGAGGCCAUUGAGCCCAGAAGGGCUAGGGAGGCCAAUGCAGAGGCAAAAAAAACAAGCCGCCAAGUCAUUGGUGCGUUGGCGCUGCCUCCACCUCUUCUAUCUCCGACAACCAGUUACAGUGUCCUGCCAGCUAUCAAGAAGGGCACUAAAGUGACGAAGGUGGAGACAACAGAGCCACCAGACCCCCUGACACCUGAGGAUGAGGUGAGAAUGAACUCCUCUCCAUCUGUUGAUGACCCCCUGACCCCAGAAACCCCAGAGACUGAUGUCACCUCCGAUGCCACUUCUCUGGCGGACCCACCCCGUGAGAUGACACCUGAGAAUGUAGAGGAGGCCUUCUCUCUGGAGGACUUCCUGAAGUCUCACCCUCAGUGGAAGCUCAUCAGGAAGUUCCUCAAACAAAAGAAUGUGACCAUAAAAGACCUGGAGGACAUGUCCUAUGUGGUCCUCCUGCCAGCAAUGGCUCUGCUCAGGAGCUACAGUCCAGAGUCAUCCCACUCCUCCUGCCGAGGGUCAGGGGUGCUGAAGAUCGUCUCGGAGAUGUUCCACUGGCGGAGCUCUGAGCCGAAGGGGAGGCUCUGGGGCGGGCAGCCCCCCACGUCCAAUUCUGAGACAGACAAGGAGCUUCAGGGUAUAGCAGACAUGGCUGUGAGUAACAUCCUGAGGAAUGCCCAGGACGACUUCUUCUCCUCUGGUGUGAAUGACCUGGAGAUGACCAAUCCAAACAUCACUCUGACCAAAGAGAGGCUCUCCAGCAUCUUCUCAGAGCUGUUCAGGGAUGCCUGUGAGAGUGCCCAGGAGGCUGCCAGACGGAUCCACCACAUGAGGUCUGGAAGAGGUAACAACAGCCGGAAUGGGAGUCGGCCUGGGUCGUCACAGGGAUCGAGCAGAUCCAACAUGCCAGAGUUGCCGUUAAACCUCUGUCAGCUGGCAGAGUGUGUGGAUGCUCAGCCACUAUAUCUGGAACAUCCAAGUGUGUCCUGCUCCAACCGAAGUGGCCUGCACCCCAUUCCAGAGCAGGGCUGGAUGGAGGAGCAUAUUGGCUCAGCCCUAGGUCAGUUGUCCACCAUUGAGGCAGACAUGGGCGAGUUAGAAAACUUCACCAGACCUCUGCCACUGGAAAAUGGAGACGACAGCUCAUCCAACAUGUUGUCAGGGCCAUCCACUGCCUCAUAUCCAUCCACCUGCCUGUCUUCUCCAGAUGUGACCUCAGAGGGAAGGGCCCACUACACCAUUAUGGCCCUGGAAACCCUCCAGGAGGGGGAGGACAACAGCUGGAGUCGCUCUGGGUCAUCACAGAGAUCAAGACGGUUCAACCUCUGUCAUCAGGCAGAGGAGCUGGAGAGGGUUUACCUCCAGAGAGACACACUCCACUCCAGGGUCAGUGUGGGAGAACUGGGGUCAGUGAGGUGGGCCAAGGGAAGGGAUGUCCAUAAAGCCCUCAGCGAGGGGUCCCUCCCUGUCUUUGCCCUGCUCAGGGAGAGGCCAGGGGAGAUUUGGCCGACAAGCACUUGGGACAUGGCGCACAACCAGCCUCCCAGCACUCCCACAUCCAGCAAGGAGGAUUUGUGGGACAGUGACUCCACCUGGUCUCAUGGGGUUGGGGAGGAGGAGGGGGCAGAGCCUCGUGUGAGGUUGGCAGCUAUGUCAGAGGGGGGCAGCUCCCAGAUCCUGACCUCCCAGACCUCCACCUCACUCUCCAAUCACGACAAGAGGGCACUAGAGGCCAUCUGCCAGGUCCUGACUGCCUGGAUGGAACAGAUGCUGAACCGGACCUGCAACAACAUUUACAGUGCCAGUGUCAUCAUCCAGAAAGGAUUGGAUUCUGGUGCCAGGGACAGUUUCCCUGACACUCCGUGUCCUUCUUCAUCAGAGGAAGAAGAUGAGGUGGUCGCGAGUGUCAUGACUUUCUUACACUCUGAGCCCUCCACCUCAACCAAGGCAGCACAGGCAGCUCCUGCAAAGACCCUGGCGGUCAACCCCUGUCUGGAUGAAGAUGAGGUAGUCCCCAGCACCUCCAUGAUUGAGGGCUCCCUAACGACCACUCAGGCAGCAUGGGCAGCUUCUGCACAGAUCUUGGAAGAAGAGGUUGGGGGAGCUGAUGUCUCUGAGGUGAGUAUCGGCUCCCUGACCCCCACCGAGGCCAGGCAGGACCUCCUGGAGAAGAUUCCCUCUCUCCUGCCGGGUGAGAUCCUCAUCGAAGAAGACAUCCCCCUUCUCAGCACUCCCAGGGACACUGUUAUGAGCCCCCAGACCCUGAAGCUCAUCCUCCAGGGCAUCAUGCGCCGACUGGAGGCCUCAGAGUCCCCCCGGGCUAGGAGGGCCAAUGACCCCUUCAGGCUGAUGAAGGAUCUCUUUCUGGAGGUCCAGCAUGCCCUUAAGUAUGCUGACAUCUCUGUCCUCUUCAGCCUGGAGGAGAGCAUUCAAUUCAGGGGGGAAGAUGCAAUGAAGGCCAUCGUUAAGGCUGCGGCUAAAAGGUUGUCCCUGCGCUCGGACUCCAACCGGGCUCAACUGCGUGCCGUACGCUAUGGUGGCGAGGGAGCCAUCUAUUGCAUGGCAGACACCAUCGCAAAUGUCAUAGACGUCCACGCCCAGGACUGGAGUUCUGACAGACAUUUUGGAGCAAGUAGGAGCCGUGGUAGGGGGAGGUCACGCUCCUCCUCAAGCUCCUCAAAGAGUGACAUCACCCUCACAGAGGAACUCUUGGCCCAGGGGGAAAGCCUGGAAGAGGACCAAGAGGAUAUGGCUGCGAUCGACGACAACAAGAAAUGUGACUCUGCUAGCUUGGAGAAGGCCAGCAGCAGCUCCCUCUCCAUAGACCUUGUGGACAGCACCUCCACACAGACAGGGAAGGACGAGGCAGUGAAGGAAGGAGUGGGGAAGUCAGGAGAUUGGAAGCGUGGUUGCAAGAAGACCCUGAAGAAGAACAAGAUGGCUCCCUUUGGCACUGAUGAUACCGUGGCUGAUGAGCCGGAAAAAAAACAGUGUCUCCUCCUGCGGAUUACAGCUGCCCUGGCAAACUUAUUUUGCUUCCCCUGCAAAAAGAGAAGUGGUAAAAAGUUCAAGCCAUGAUGAAUCCCUCCAUAGCCCAGCCCAGACCUAUUUAAUUAAAUAAACAU
ensembl:lncRNA